UCGCCAGUAGCUCAGUUGGUAGAGCAAUCGGCUGUUAACCGAUCGGUCGCAGGUUCGAGUCCUGCCUGUGGAGCCA
rnacentral:tRNA from 1 species